rnacentral:rRNA from 1 species
UAGUCAUAUGCUUGUCUCAAAGAUUAAGCCAUGCAUGUCUAAGUAUAAAUGGAUUAUACAGUGAAACUGCGAAUGGCUCAUUAAAUCAGUUAUAGUUUAUUUGAUAAUACCUUUUACUUGGAUAACCGUAAUAAUUUUAGAGCUAAUACAUGCGUGAAAGUGCGACUUUUGUGGAAGCACUGUAUUUAUUAGAUACAAAACCAAUCGAGUUUGCUCGUUACCUUGGUGAUUCAUAAUAACUAAACGAAUCGUAUGACUUUAUGUCGACGAUGAUUCAUUCAAAUUUCUGCCCUAUCAACUUUCGAUGGUAAGGUAUUGGCUUACCAUGGUUACAACGGGUGACGGAGGAUUAGGGUUCGAUUCCGGAGAGGGAGCCUGAGAAACGGCUACCACUUCUACGGAGGGCAGCAGGCGCGCAAAUUACCCAAUCCUGACUCAGGGAGGUAGUGACGAAUAAUAACGAUACGUGACUUCGGUCUAGUAAUUGGAAUGAGUACAAUUUAAACCCCUUAAUGAAUUCCAUU